UAUUAUACCCAUUGAUAAAACAGGUACUUUACAAGAUGUGGAUAGUAACCAAACGAUUAUUUUGACACAUCAUCGAAUUCGUAGAGACUUAAAAGAUAAUCCGGAUGCUAUGCAACUAACUAGCUUAUUCAUCCAUAAGAUGCAUACAUUUCUAGUGUUAUUAGCGCUUCUUGGAUUUUUUAUAUCUGUGCUUUCUAUAUUUUACCAAUAUUGCAAAAGACAUGUUCGUAGCAUAGGACAAGGACGUGGAUCAGGACGUGGAUCAGGACGUGGCCGUCGUAGAAGACGAUAAAAUCGCCUGAACUGGUAACACUACAAACAUAGGAAUGUAUUUAUUAAGCAUCUUUAUGUGUGUAAAAAAGCGUAGUACGCUAAAAUUUAAAACAAUAGCACAAAUUUAAAUUCAAUUAUUUUGUGAUUUUAGAAAUUGUAAAAAUAUGUAAACAGUAAAAUUUUUUCCAUAUAUUAUUAAUUUAUAUGCAUUGUGCAUUUUUAACAUUAUUAACAAUUGAUAUAACAAGUUUAAGAUUAACAAUAACUAAUCGAACUUGUUUUUUUAGUUUAUUUAUAACUUAUAUUUUUUUUAUUUACUCACCUAAAAAAUAAUAAUUUGAUAGAUUUUUACUUUAACAUGUUUUUAUUAUGCAUUCACAGUGUCAAUAUUUGCUUGUUUGUUUGACGUGGCACAAAAUAAAGCUUGUAAUUUUUGUAUUUUUACA
rnacentral:lncRNA from 1 species